UUAACCCCAAUUGCCUAAAAAAGAAAAAAAAAAUAAACCUCCUUAACUACCUAGAGUUAAAGGAGUAGCCACUGUGUGGGGUGAUGGGAAGAGUUAAUCAUCAGUCCCUUCUAUUCAGCUUCUCAGCUUUCCCUCCCUUCUUCACACUUCCCUCCUCACUCUCUCAGCUCUUCGGGGACACAGAAGCUGCUUGGUAGCCUUUCCUGUGAAACCAUAUGGCAUUUAAACGAGCCUCAGUUGUGAAUUUUUUAUUUAAAACAUUUUCCUAUCAAACAUCAGCAUUUGAAAAUCAUUUUCAUUCACUCCCCUCUCCCUGUCACAAACACUGCCAAGGGUUAAAGCCAUGUUUUUGCUUUUGUUAAGUAUUAAAAAAAUGCCAUUUAAUUGAAUUUAAAGAAAAGGAAGAGGGGGGAGGGCUGUCCGAAGUUAAGGUGAGAGAUCGAUCUGCGAACAGGAGCAAUGAACGUGGAGGAGCAGGGAACGUGAACCUCCCGCCGGUGAAACCAGUCCGAAAGAUGUGCCAACAUAAGCUGCAAGAGACCUGGUGGAUCACCUAGGCCAACUCCCCUAUUUCACAGGUGGGGAAACUGAGGCCCAGGAAAGUCCUGUGCCUUACCCAACGUGAGUUGGGCGUGAGGAUAUUGAAAACAGCCGGAAGGCGUGGUUUCUAGGUCCUGCUUUGCCACUGCUAAGUCACCGUGUGCCCUGGGGCAGGACCGGCCUCUGCUUCUUCCGCCGGGGCCCGGGCUCUAAGUCCUGCCUGUCACUGGGGACGCCCGGACAUCCUGGCCGAGUUCCCCGCACCUAUGAUCCUUUUCUCUCGAAACCAAGGCUGCGUCUUCUGGGGAGCGCAAGGCCGAAGGACCCGGGGGUCGCGGGGGCUCAGCUUCCAGAGUCCGGCUUGCCCAUUCCGCCGCCUGCCGCAGAACAGCCAGCACCUCCGGCUGCGGGCCCUGUCCUUACUGCUGUGGGUCCAGCCCGCUGCUGAAGGCCCGAGCGCGGCGCGCGAGUCCCGGCCUGGGAAUGUAGGCCCUGAGUUAGGACUCGAGGGGGCGGGGCAAGUGACGUCGCGGCCUGGAGCCGACCUGUGCGGCUAUCUGUUGUCAUGGCAGCGACCAGGAAGGCGAUGUCUCCUUGGGAGCCCCGCCUCCUCAGUUGUCCAUUCCUGGCCGGAGCUGCCUUUGCGUCACGGGGUCAGUGGGCGGAUGGGGUGGCUUUUUCGUCGGCCCAAUAGCAGGGCAGGGCCAGACUCCCCUUUAAGGAAUGUUGUGAAGUGACGUCACCGAACCGAGUUACCAUCUCCUUCGGGCAGCAGCUGCUCGGGUUUGAGAACCAGAACGAGCCCGAGCGCGCGCGACAGAGAACCCGGAGCAGCAGCGGCGACACCCGGAUCCCUGACCCUGAACUUCCCACUCCACCCCACCCCUGCCCGACCCAGGACCCCGGCGCGAUGCCCUCCGACCGGCCCUUCAAGCAGCGGCGAAGCUUCGGUGAUCAUUGAGCGAUACAAAGGGGAAAAACAGCUGCCUGUCCUGGACAAGACCAAGUUCCUCGUCCCUGACCACGUCAACAUGAGUGA